GACGAACGCUGGCGGCGUGCCUAAUACAUGCAAGUUGAGCGAUGAAGAUUGGUGCUUGCACCAAUUUGAAGAGCAGCGAACGGGUGAGUAACGCGUGGGGAAUCUGCCUUUGAGCGGGGGACAACAUUUGGAAACGAAUGCUAAUACCGCAUAACAACUUUAAACAUAAGUUUUAAGUUUGAAAGAUACAAUUGCAUCACUCAAAGAUGAUCCCGCGUUGUAUUAGCUAGUUGGUGAGGUAAAGGCUCACCAAGGCGAUGAUACAUAGCCGACCUGAGAGGGUGAUCGGCCACAUUGGGACUGAGACACGGCCCAAACUCCUACGGGAGGCAGCAGUAGGGAAUCUUCGGCAAUGGACGAAAGUCUGACCGAGCAACGCCGCGUGAGUGAAGAAGGUUUUCGGAUCGUAAAACUCUGUUGGUAGAGAAGAACGUUGGUGAGAGUGGAAAGCUCAUCAAGUGACGGUAACUACCCAGAAAGGGACGGCUAACUACGUG
rnacentral:rRNA from 1 species